rnacentral:rRNA from 1 species
GAUGAACGCUGGCGGCGUGCUUAACACAUGCAAGUCGAACGGGAAUUACUUUAUUGAAACUUCGGUCGAUUUAAUUUAAUUCUAGUGGCGGACGGGUGAGUAACGCGUGGGUAACCUGCCUUGUACAGGGGGAUAACAGUCAGAAAUGGCUGCUAAUACCGCAUAAGCGCACAGGACCGCAUGGUCCGGUGUGAAAAACUCCGGUGGUAUAAGAUGGACCCGCGUUGGAUUAGCUUGUUGGCAGGGUAACGGCCUACCAAGGCGACGAUCCAUAGCCGGCCUGAGAGGGUGAACGGCCACAUUGGGACUGAGACACGGCCCAGACUCCUACGGGAGGCAGCAGUGGGGAAUAUUGCACAAUGGGGGAAACCCUGAUGCAGCGACGCCGCGUGAAGGAAGAAGUAUCUCGGUAUGUAAACUUCUAUCAGCAGGGAAGAGAUUGACGGUACCUGACUAAGAAGCCCCGGCUA